AGCGCGGACCCGGGGAUGGGUCGCGGGGGCGGGGAGAAAGGAGGGACCGUGGGCGCGUGCGCGUGCCGAAGGACGAGAAGGAGAGAUCUGGGCGUGCCCGUGGGACCUCAGCUGUGUGUGGCCGAACGUGACACGCACGUGUGCGUGUCAGAGAGGAGGGGUGUUUUGCAGCUCUUCUUUCUCAGGGGAGCAUCAAGGAAGACAAGCCCAAGGCCCAAGAUACUGCAUUCCCAGCAGAUGCCUUACACGCCCUUUCUUCGUGGGGUCCCCAAGGAGACAGACACACACAAGCAGAGGGAUUGUUGCCACACUUACUGGUCCCAGAGCACAUGUGGCUGGUGUUGCAUGUCAUCACAUCCUCCAAGCCUCCCCUGCCCGGCCCUAAAGGGGAUGCAGACCACGCAGAAGCCUGUGACAUUUAAGGAUGUGGCUGUAGACUUCACACGGGAGGAAUGGGGCCUGCUGGGCCCCACACAGAGGAUCCUAUACCGUGACGUGAUGCUGAGGAACUACAGCAACUUGGUGUCCCUGGGACUUCCCGAUUGCAAACCAGAUGUGAUCUCCAAGCUGGAGCAGUGGGAAGACCCCUGGACUGUGAAGAGAGAUGUCCCAAGAGGUCCAGACUCAGAGCCUGGGCCCCGAGCUGCAUGGCUGCCUCUAGAGAAGGGCGCUCUGCGUCAGGGGCAGAUGACAGUAGGACUCACAGGGCAGGAUUUCUGGCACACCAUCCAGAAAGAAGUCACAGGACAUGAAGGCCAGGUGGCAGACAGACAAUGCCAAGCAGUGACACUCAGCCAGGGAAAGAAGAGCCCAGAGUGGAGCUUUGCAGGAACUUUCUCCUGGCACCCAUUCCUCACUGAGCAUCAGUGCAAUCCUCCAAGGGCUCAAGCUCCCACAAGCCACGUUGGCAAAGAGGGCCUCACCUGCAUUUCAGUCCUAGAUCAGGGGCGCCCCUGCCAAGAAGAAAGAGUGUGUAUGGAAGCCCUCAGCUCUUUUCCAGACCUUAGUCACCCACAAGGAGCUCACAUCGAGGGGGACACAUUGGUGUGUGGUGGGUGGGGAGAUGCCUUUGGCAAGAACACAUGCCUUGUGGGCUGUCAACAGAUUCCCAAUAAACGGAAGCCCUACACGUGCGAGGAGUGUGGGAAGGCCUUUGGACAGAGCACACAUCUCGUUCAACACCAGAGAACCCACACUGGUGAGAAGCCGUACACGUGCCAGGAGUGUGGACGGGCCUUCAGCAAGAACUCGUCCCUGGUUAAGCACCAGCGCAUCCACACAGGUGAGAAGCCCUAUGCGUGCAGCCACUGCAGCAAGCACUUCCGAGAGAACUCCUCCCUGGCCAAACACCAGCGAGUGCACACGGGCGAGAAGCCGUACACCUGUGGUGAGUGUGGGCGCGCCUUCAGCCAGAGCACUCACCUCGUGCAGCACCAGCGGAUCCACACUGGGGAGAAGCCGUUCGCCUGUUGUGAGUGUGGCAGAGCCUUUGCUGACUCCUCAGCCCUCCUGGUCCACCAUAGAACCCACACAGGAGAGAGGCCUUACGAGUGCCGCACGUGCUGCAAGGCGUUCAGCCUCAGCUCAUCGCUGGCCGAGCACAAACGCUGCCACACAGGAGAGAAGCCAUACGCAUGCCGGGAAUGUGGGAAAGCCUUCAGCCAGAGCUCAUCCCUCAGCAAGCACCUGAGGACACACACGGGUGAGAAGCCGUACACAUGCGGGGACUGUGGCCAUGCUUUCAGCCAGAGUUCCUCCCUGGCCAAACACCAGCGGGUGCACACUGGCGAGCGGCCUUACGUGUGUAGAGAAUGCGGAAAGACCUUCAGCCAGGGCUCCUACCUGACCCAGCACCUCAAGAUCCACAGCGGCGAGAAGCCAUUCAUAUGCAGUGAGUGCAGGAAACCCUUCGGCGAUUCUUCAGCCCUAGUCCUGCACCAACGGGUGCACACGGGUGAGCGACCCUACAUGUGUGGAAAAUGCGGGAAGACCUUCAGCCAGAGCAAGUUCCUCACCCAGCACGAGAGGAUACACACUGGGGAGAAGCCCUUUGUGUGUGGUGACUGUGGAAGGGCCUUCCUGCAGAGCUCCUCCCUCACCCUCCACCUCAGGACACACACUGGGGAGAAGCCUUACAAGUGCAACGAGUGCGGCAAGGCUUACAUCCAGAUGUCGCACCUCACUGAGCAUUACCGGGUGCACACAGGGGAGCGGCCCUACGUGUGCAAUGUGUGCAGCAAAGCCUUCAGCCGCGGCACACACCUCAUGCAGCACCAGCGUGUCCACACGGGCGCCAAGCCCUUCAUAUGCAGCCUGUGCCGGAAAACCUUCUGCGAGGCUGCAGCCCUCAUUCUGCAUCAGAGGGUUCACGCUGGACAGAAGCCCUUUGAGUGUCACAAAUGUGAGAAAAACUUCAGCCAGAGCAGAUCUCUGGUCCAGCAUCGGAAAAUUCAUUCCCAGGGGACACCAUGAGUGCAGCGAGUAUCAGAAAACCCUCAGCAGCUGUUUGGUUCUCAUCCAUCCGUGAACUGGGGGUGUGCCAAACAUGGCAGAGACCUGGCUGUCCUUCAUCCGGCGGAGGGUCCUAACCUGUGCCUAUGGUACAUGACAGAAGAGAAUUUGCAGAUGGGGAAGAGUAUCCUGGGUCACCAGGUGGAUACAAUGUCAUCACAAGAUCCUUCUAAGUGAAAGAGAGAGGCAAAGAGGGUCAGUCAGAGAAGGAAAUAAGACGACAGUGAAGCAGACAUGAAACAAGGAAAGUGGAGGAGGCAAGGAAAUAGGUUUUCACCUGGAGCCUCUAGAAGGAACUGGCCCUGCCACCAGGGCGAUUUUAGCCCCAUGAGACCCAUUUUGGACUUCUGACCUCCAGAAAUGUAAGGUAAUAGAUUUUUGUUCUUAUAAGCUACUAUGUUUGUGGUAAUUUGUUAGAGCAACAACAGGAAACCAAUACAGCCUCUCUAGACACAAACCAGACCAGUGGAGCAGAGCCAAUUGUACCUGGGUGGGGAAAAAAAACCAGGGAUGAUGGUUCAUAGAGGUGAUAAAAUAGAAACCAGGAAAAAUGUGGGGCUCUCUUCACUGGCAGGUGGAUGGAAAGGCAAGUUCUGCUUGGAGGCAGGGAGGCAGUGAUGUGAAGCUGGGCUGGGCAGAGAAGGCAGGGCUGAGAGCUGGAAAACGGGAGCCCCCAGAGAUAACGCCUUCGGUGGUGCAGGAAGAGAUGGUCACAGCAGAGUUGCGAAACUGGACUGACACUGCCCAGAGUGCCUGGUGCACAAAAGGGGCCCAAUAAAGAUGUGGUCUGUUGUUAGGAUUAUUGUGGGUGAGCAUCUUGGGGUUGUUCCUCUGACAACAAAAGGCAGAAAACCACAAGGAGAGGCCAAGAAGACCCAAGGAGAUGAGGGCAACCAGUGCCACCCACAGGCCAAAGCCCAGUUCAGUGCUUGACAGGUGGGAUGGGUCUUGGCCAGGGGGGCGGGGGGGUCGGAGCAAAGGGUUCCUUGGAUUAGGACCCCUGUGGUGUGUCUACC